CUCAUCCUGGGAUUCUGAAACUGAUUGCAAAGGUCAAGGGAAAGUGAGGGCCAACCUGAUGCUUCCUGCUGCAGUUGGCAAGAAUUUGGAUGUGCGCUCUGUUGCAGUGGAGCACAGCAAAGGUAUCCUGCCAGCAGCAGGAGCAGAGAAGGAAGAAUAUUUUGUCCCUUCUUCUAAGAAAAAGGUACUUAGCUCUGUUACAGAUGAAUUGCAUUGCCUUUGGCUGAAGUCAGAUGCAGUGUGAUGCUGCACUCUUGACGAGGAUUCUUUUCUCCACUGGGUCUCUGUUUUCUUGCUCGCUUAGCUGCCUACAUUGGAGAGAAAAAAUCUUCAGCUAAGAUUUGAUU